UACGUAGGGGGCUAGCGUUGUCCGGAAUCAUUGGGCGUAAAGCGCGUGUAGGCGGUUCGGUAAGUCCGCUGUGAAAGUCGGGGGCUCAACCCUCGGAUGCCGGUGGAUACUGUCGGACUAGAGUACGGAAGAGGCGAGUGGAAUUCCUGGUGUAGCGGUGAAAUGCGCAGAUAUCAGGAGGAACACCGGUGGCGAAGGCGGAUCUCUGGGCCAUUACUGACGCUGAGGAGCGAAAGCGUGGGGAGCGAACAGG
rnacentral:rRNA from 1 species